GUGGAUUAGAUACCCUGGUAGUCCACGCCCUAAACUAUGUCUACUAGUUGUUGGGGGAGUUAAAUCCCUUAGUAACGCAGCUAACGCGAGAAGUAGACCGCCUGGGGAGUACGGUCGCAAGAUUAAAACUCAAAGGAAUUGACGGGGGCCCGCACAAGCGGUGGAUGAUGUGGUUUAAUUCGAUGCAACGCGAAAAACCUUACCUACCCUUGACAUGUCCGGAAUCCUGCAGAGAUGCAGGAGUGCCCGAAAGGGAACCGGAACACAGGUGCUGCACGGCCGUCGCCAACU
rnacentral:rRNA from 1 species